CCCUGGGGCGGAAACCCCGGGAACUGGGGCUAAUCCCCGAUAGGCGAAGAUUCCUGGAAUGGGUCUUCACCCAAAAGGUUCUAGAAUCAUGCUUUCUAGUAUCGCCCGAGGACGGGGCCGCGGCCGAUCAGGUAGUUGGUGAGGCAACGGCUCACCAAGCCUAUAACCGGUACGGGCCGUGGGAGCGGGAGCCCGGAGAUGGGAACUGAGACAAGGUCCCAGGCCCUACGGGGCGCAGCAGUUACGAAAACUUGUCAAUGCACGAAAGUGUGAACGGGCUACCCCGAGUGCCGUCCGCUGAGGAUGGCUUUUCUUUGCUGUAAGGAGGCGGAGGAAUAAGGAGAGGGCAAGUCUGGUGUCAGCCGCCGCGGUAAUACCAGCUCUCCGAGUGGUGGGGAUGAUUAUUGGGCCUAAAGCGUCCGUAGCCGGCUUUUCAAGUCUCUCGUUAAAUCCAGCGAAACAAUCGUUGGACUGCGGGAGAUACUGUUUGGCUAGGGGGCGGGAGAAGCCGACGGUAUUUUCGGGGUAGGGGUAAAAUCCUAUAAUCCCGAGAAGACCACCAGUGGCGAAGGCGGUCGGCUAGCACGCGCUCGACGGUGAGGGACGAAAGCUGGGGGAGCGAACCGGAUUAGAUACCCGGGUAGUCCCAGCUGUAAACGAUGCGGGCUAGGUGUUGGAGCGGCUACGAGCCGCUUCAGUGCCGCAGGGAAGCCAUUAAGCCCGCCGCCUGGGAGUACGGCCGCAAGGCUGAAACUUAAAGGAAUUGGCGGGGGAGCAC
rnacentral:rRNA from 1 species